rnacentral:rRNA from 1 species
UACGUAGGGGGGCAAGCGUUGUCCGGAAUUAUUGGGCGUAAAGAGCGCGUAGGCGGUCCGGUAAGUCGGUUGUGAAAGUCGGGGGCUCAACCUCGGAUGCCGAUCGAUACUGUCGGGCUAGAGUCCGGAAGAGGCGAGUGGAAUUCCUGGUGUAGCGGUGAAAUGCGCAGAUAUCAGGAGGAACACCGGUGGCGAAGGCGGGUCUCUGGGCCGAUACUGACGUGAGGAGCGAAAGCGUGGGGAGCGAACCGGAUUAGAUACCGUUGGUAGUC